UGCAGUCGAACGAAGUAGCAAUACUUAGUGGCAGACGGGUGAGUAACAUGUGGGUAUCUGCCCUUUGGCCUGGAAUAACACGAGGAAACUUGUGCUAAUACCGGAUAAGUCUUUACAGAGAAAGCUUUAUGCACCAUUGGAUGAGCCCGCACUUGAUUAGUUUGUUGGUAGGGUAAUGGCCUACCAAGACUGUGAUCAAUAGCUGAUUUGAGAGGAUGAUCAGCCACAUUGGGACUGAGACACGGCCCAAACUCCUACGGGAGGCAGCAGUGGGGAAUCUUGCACAAUGGAGGAAACUCUGAUGCAGCGAUGCCGCGUGAGUGAAGAAGGCCUUUGGGUUGUAAAGCUCUUUCGUCGGGGAAGAAAAUGACUGUACCCGAAUAAGAAGGUCCGGCUAACUUCGUGCCAGCAGCCGCGGUAAUACGAAGGGACCUAGCGUAGUUCGGAAUUACUGGGCUUAAAGAGUUCGUAGGUGGUUGAAAAAGUUGGUGGUGAAAUCCCAGAGCUUAACUCUGGAACUGCCAUCAAAACUUUUCAGCUAGAGUUUGAUAGAGGAAAGCAGAAUUUCUAGUGUAGAGGUGAAAUUCGUAGAUAUUAGAAAGAAUACCAAUUGCGAAGGCAGCUUUCUGGAUCAUUACUGACACUGAGGAACGAAAGCAUGGGUAGCGAAGAGGAUUAGAUACCCUCGUAGUCCAUGCCGUANACGAUGUGUGUUAGACGUUGGAAAUUUAUUUUCAGUGUCGCAGCGAAAGCGAUAAACACACCGCCUGGGGAGUACGACCGCAAGGU
rnacentral:rRNA from 1 species